rnacentral:rRNA from 1 species
UACAGAGGGGGCAAGCGUUGUUCGGAAUUACUGGGCGUAAAGGGCGCGUAGGCGGCCUGUUAAGUCGAACGUGAAAUCCCCGGGCUCAACCCGGGAACUGCGUCCGAUACUGGCAGGCUUGAAUCCGGGAGAGGGAUGCGGAAUUCCAGGUGUAGCGGUGAAAUGCGUAGAGAUCAGGAAGAACAUCGGUGGCGAAGGCGCUCUGCUGGACCAUAACUGACACUCAGGGACGAAAGCUAGGGGAGCGAAUGGG